rnacentral:lncRNA from 1 species
GGUGGUUCGUGACUUUGAAUCAAGAGGCAGAGUCUGGCAGUGCGUCCGCAACCAGCGGUCGGCCUCAGACCCAGAGAUGCUUGCUGCCAGGUAUUAAUGAUGAGCCGGCUGGCUGCUCCAUGGAGCCAAGCCGGGGAUGCCGGCAUGGCCUCGGCCUGGCCUGUCACCAUCACCCUCAUCCACCAUCUGGAGAAGAACGUGAUGGCUUUUCCAGGCCCCUUUACGUCUCAGGAAGAGAUUAGCACAGACCUCCAACCAAUCAGUCACAAGGCGGCAGAGGAGAGGGCGCCAUUUGCUGGGUUGCUGACAAUACACAGUGCUCAAUUUCCUACACCAGUUGAUGCUGCUGCCAUCCGUAUGGCCUGACAGUCUCUUUUCGUCUGCCUAGUCUUGUCGCUCUGAAGCCCUCCAAGGAGAUGGAUGCAUCCAGUUGGAUUCCAGAGUUCACCAGGAGGGCGCUGUCCAUCAGCCUAUCAGCCAGUAUCCAGGGUCAGCAUCUGGCCGGGGGCUUUGCC